UACGUAGGGUGCGAGCGUUGUUCGGAAUGACUGGGCGUAAAGCGCGCGUAGGCGGAUCAGGAAGUUGGGGGUGAAAUCCCGGGGCUCAACCCCGGAAUGGCCUUCAAAACUCCUGGUCUUGAGUUCGAGAGAGGUGAGUGGAAUUCCGAGUGUAGAGGUGAAAUUCGUAGAUAUUCGGAGGAACACCAGUGGCGAAGGCGGCUCACUGGCUCGACACUGACGCUGAGGUGCGAAAGCGUGGGGAGCAAACAGG
rnacentral:rRNA from 1 species